rnacentral:rRNA from 1 species
UACGGGGGGGGCAAGCGUUGUUCGGAAUUACUGGGCGUAAAGGGCUCGUAGGUGGCCAACUAAGUCAGACGUGAAAUCCCCAGGCUCAACUUGGGAACUGCGUCUGAUACUGGAUGGCUUGAAUUCGGGAGAGGGGAUGCAGAAUUCCAGGUGUAGCGGUGAAAUGCGUAGAUAUCUGGAGGAAUACCGGUGGCGAAGGCGGCAUCCUGGACCGAUAUUGACACUGAUGAGCGAAAGCUAGGGGAGCAAACGGG